AUUGAACGCUGGCGGCAUGCUUUACACAUGCAAGUCGAACGGUAACAGGUCUUCGGAUGCUGACGAGUGGCGAACGGGUGAGUAAUGCAUCGGAACGUGCCCAGUCGUGGGGGAUAACGUAGCGAAAGCUACGCUAAUACCGCAUACGAUCUAUGGAUGAAAGCGGGGGACCGUAAGGCCUCGCGCGAUUGGAGCGGCCGAUGUCAGAUUAGGUAGUUGGUGGGGUAAAGGCUCACCAAGCCAACGAUCUGUAGCUGGUCUGAGAGGACGACCAGCCACACUGGAACUGAGACACGGUCCAGACUCCUACGGGAGGCAGCAGUGGGGAAUUUUGGACAAUGGGCGCAAGCCUGAUCCAGCAAUGCCGCGUGCAGG
rnacentral:rRNA from 1 species